rnacentral:misc_RNA from 1 species
GUUUCUCAUUGCUUUCUCAAUAUGUACAAAAUAAUCAAGUUGGGUUGAGUAAAGGUGACGACGCCGCCCACCCCUCCGGCCACCCGAAAAAGGGAAACCAGAGCGGCCCUUGAUCUCAAGAUUGGACCGGUGACGGUCAUUCAAGAGGAUCAGAGUGAAGAGCGACACCGAAAAACAGACGUUCGUGGUUCACAGUGGUGUCAGUGGGACGCGGGAGCCUUCAGAGCUCCCCCUCCGACUUUGGAUAUUUCUUAAUGAUCCAACCGCAGGUUCACCUACGGUUA